rnacentral:rRNA from 1 species
CACGUAGGGCGCAAGCGUUGUCCGGAAUUAUUGGGCGUAAAGAGCUCGUAGGCGGUCUGUUGCGUCCGCUGUGAAAACUCGGGGCUUAACCCCGAGCCUGCAGUGGAUACGGGCAGACUAGAGGUAGGUAGGGGAGAAUGGAAUUCCCGGUGUAGCGGUGAAAUGCGCAGAUAUCGGGAGGAACACCGGUGGCGAAGGCGGUUCUCUGGGCCUUACCUGACGCUGAGGAGCGAAAGCUGGGGGAGCAAACAGG